rnacentral:rRNA from 1 species
GACGAACGCUGGCGGCGUGCCUAACACAUGCAAGUCGAACGGAGAGGACAUGAAGUAUUUCGGUACGGAAUGCUCUCUUAGUGGCGAACGGGUGAGUAACACGUGGGCAACCUGCCCCAGACUGGGGGAUAACAUUGUGAAAACAGUGCUAAUACCGCAUGACAGGGUUCCGGGCAUCCGGGACCCUUGAAAGGAGAAAUCCGGUCAGGGAUGGGCCCGCGUCCAAUUAGCUAGUUGGCGGGGUAACGGCCCACCAAGGCGACGAUUGGUAGCCGAACUGAGAGGUUGAUCGGCCACAUUGGGACUGAGACACGGCCCAGACUCCUACGGGAGGCAGCAGUGGGGAAUAUUGGGCAAUGGGCGAAAGCCUGACCCAGCGACGCCGCGUGAAGGAUGAAGGUCUUCGGAUUGUAAACUUCUUUGAUCAGGGAAGAAAGAAAUGACGGUACCUGAAAACAAGCCACGGCUAACUACGUG